AGAGAGAGACAUGCGCGCAUAUCAAUAAGCGGAGGAAAAGAAACUAACAAGGAUUCCCUUAGUAACGGCGAGUGAAGCGGGAAGAGCUCAAAUUUGAAAUCUUCAAGGUUCUACCUUGACGAAUUGUAGUUUAUAGAAGUGUUUUCUGUUAGUGGAGUGGCAAAAGUUCUUUGGAAUAGGACAUCAUAGAGGGUGAGAAUCCCGUAUUUGGUCAUUCCUUCUAGCUUUGUGAUACACUUUCAAAGAGUCGGAUUGUUUGGGAAUGCAGUCCAAAAUGGGUGGUAAAUUUCAUCUAAAGCUAAAUAUUGGCGAGAGACCGAUAGCGAACAAGUACCGUGAGGGAAAGAUGAAAAGAACUUUGAAAAGAGAGUUAAACAGUACGUGAAAUUGUCAAAAGGGAAGCGUUUGACACCAGUGUUGUUUUCUCGAAAAUCAAUUAAAAAUGGCAGGAUUUUGUGUUGUAUUGACUUUAUCAGCUUUCUGCACUUUUUUCUUGUCUUUUUUAAUGCACUUUUCGUUUAACAAGUCAACAUCAAUUUCUUUUGUUGUAAAAGGGUCAUUGGAAGGUGGCUUUCUUUUCGGAGAAAGUGUUUAUAGCCUUUGGCUUCUGCAAUCGGAGAGAUUGAGGUCUGCAGCGUAGAUCCUUCGGGGUUAGAUGCAUUUGUGCUAAGUUAUAGCCUUUCAUAGACAACUUGUUGACUAUGAUCAGUCAUGUAGCUUACUCGCUUAUGUCAUUUUACCUACGCUUAGGAUGUUGACAGCAGUAUAGACUGU
rnacentral:rRNA from 1 species